UACGGAGGGGGCUAGCGUUGUUCGGAAUUACUGGGCGUAAAGCGCACGUAGGCGGCUUUGUAAGUUAGAGGUGAAAGCCCGGAGCUUAACUCCGGAACUGCCUUUAAGACUGCAUCGCUCGAAUCAUGGAGAGGUCAGUGGAAUUCCGAGUGUAGAGGUGAAAUUCGUAGAUAUUGGAAGAACACCAGUGGCGAAGGCGACUGACUGGACAUGUAUUGACGCUGAGGUGGCGAAAAGCGUGGGGAGCAAACAGGG
rnacentral:rRNA from 1 species